GUACAUAUUCUAUCUCCCUAGCUAGUAGUGCCAGUAUAGCUUCUUCUGUAACAUCUUUAUGUUUUAGAAGAAGAAAGGGGAGAGUUGUUUUCAUGGCUGUAUCUAAUAACAGAGCAAACCAUAGAAAACUUCCAAAGAACCUUAGAAAUCCUCGACGACCCAAGCUCCCACCAGAUAUGGACUAUAGUUUCAAAAGGGUUUUGUAUGAGGGAGUUGUAAGUGAGGCUUGUUCUGAUGGAAUUGA
rnacentral:misc_RNA from 1 species